rnacentral:rRNA from 1 species
UACGUAGGGUGCGAGCGUUAAUCGGAAUUACUGGGCGUAAAGCGUGCGCAGGCGGCGGCCCAAGUCAGGUGUGAAAUCCCCGGGCUUAACCUGGGAACUGCGUUUGAAACUACAAGGCUAGAGUGUGGCAGAGGGGGGUGGAAUUCCACGUGUAGCAGUGAAAUGCGUAGAGAUGUGGAGGAACACCGAUGGCGAAGGCAGCCCCCCUGGGGUUAACACUGACGCUCAGGCACGAAAGCGUGGGGAGCAAACAGG